AUUGAACGCCGGCGGAAUGCUUUACACAUGCAAGUCGAACGGCAGCACGGGGGCAACCCUGGUGGCGAGUGGCGAACGGGUGAGUAAUACAUCGGAACGUGCCCAGUCGUGGGGGAUAACGUAGCGAAAGUUACGCUAAUACCGCAUACGAUCUACGGAUGAAAGCGGGGGACCGUAAGGCCUCGCGCGAUUGCAGCGGCCGAUGUCAGAUUAGGUAGUUGGUGAGGUAAAGGCUCACCAAGCCGACGAUCUGUAGCUGGUCUGAGAGGACGACCAGCCACACUGGGACUGAGACACGGCCCAGACUCCUACGGGAGGCAGCAGUGGGGAAUUUUGGACAAUGGGCGCAAGCCUGAUCCAGCCAUUCCGCGUGCAGGACGAAGGCCUUCGGGUUGUAAACUGCUUUUGUACGGAACGAAAAGGCUCUGGUUAAUACCUGGGGCUCAUGACGGUACCGUAAGAAUAAGCACCGGCUAACUACGUGCCAGCCGCCGCAGUAA
rnacentral:rRNA from 1 species